AUUGAACGCUGGCGGCAGGCCUAACACAUGCAAGUCGAGCGGAUGAAGGGAGCUUGCUCCUGGAUUCAGCGGCGGACGGGUGAGUAAUGCCUAGGAAUCUGCCUGGUAGUGGGGGGUAACGUCCGGAAACGGGCGCUAAUACCGCAUACGUCCUGAGGGAGAAAGUGGGGGAUCUUCGGACCUCACGCUAUCAGAUGAGCCUAGGUCGGAUUAGCUAGUUGGUGGGGUAAAGGCCUACCAAGGCGACGAUCCGUAACUGGUCUGAGAGGAUGAUCAGUCACACUGGAACUGAGACACGGUCCAGACCCCUACGGGAGGCAGCAGUGGGGAAUAUUGGACAAUGGGCGAAAGCCUGAUCCAGCCAUGCCGCGUGUGUGAAGAAGGUCUUCGGAUUGUAAAGCACUUUAAGUUGGGAGGAAGGGCAGUAAGUUAAUACCUUGCUGUUUUGACGUUACCAACAGAAUAAGCACCGGCUAACUUCGUG
rnacentral:rRNA from 1 species